AACACUUUUUAAAGAAGUCCAGAGAGGUUUCAAAGGGUGAAAAGGUUCGAUCUGUGUUUCGUGCGCUUUUUUAUAAAAUCACGGACCCAGUCUAACCAGCAUCCUUAACUCAGGAUGCUGGUUUUUUUAU
rfam:Pontibacillus chungwhensis BH030062 contig3, whole genome shotgun sequence.